AGCAGCCGCGGUAAUUCCAGCUCCAAUAGCGUAUAUUAAAGUUGUUGCAGUUAAAAAGCUCGUAGUUGAAUUUCGGGGUCAGCAGGUUGGUCGUGCCACUGGUAUGCACUGGCCUUGCUGAUUCCUCCCUCUUGAUGAACCGUAAUGCCAUUAAUUUGGUGUUGCGGGGAAUCAGGACUGUUACUUUGAAAAAUUAGAGUGUUUAAAGCAGGCAAGCGCUUGAAUACAUUAGCAUGGAAUAAUGAAAUAGGACGUUUGAUCCUAUUUUGUUGGUUUCUAGGAUUGACGUAAUGAUUAAUAGGGAUAGUUGGGGGCAUUAGUAUUCAAUUGUCAGAGGUGAAAUUCUUGGAUUUAUUGAAGACUAACUACUGCGAAAGCAUUUGCCAAGGAUGUUUUCAUUAAUCAAGAACGAAAGUUAGGGGAUCGAAGACGAUCAGAUACCGCCGUAGUCUUAACCAUAAACUAUGCCGACUAGGGAUCGGAUGAUGUUAAUUUUUAAUGACUCAUUC
rnacentral:rRNA from 1 species